AUUACCGCGGCUGCUGGCACAGAGUUAGCCGGUGCUUAUUCUGUCGGUAACGUCAAAACAGCAAGGUAUUCGCUUACUGCCCUUCCUCCCAACUUAAAGUGCUUUACAAUCCGAAGACCUUCUUCACACACGCGGCAUGGCUGGAUCAGGCUUUCGCCCAUUGUCCAAUAUUCCCCACUGCUGCCUCCCGUAGGAGUCUGGACCGUGUCUCAGUUCCAGUGUGACUGAUCAUCCUCUCAGACCAGUUACGGAUCGUCGCCUAGGUGAGCCAUUACCUCACCUACUAGCUAAUCCGACCUAGGCUCAUCUGAUAGCGCAAGGCCCGAAGGUCCCCUGCUUUCUCCCGUAGGACGUAUGCGGUAUUAGCGUUCCUUUCGAGACGUUGUCCCCCACUACCAGGCAGAUUCCUAGGCAUUACUCACCCGUCCGCCGCUGAAUCAGAGAGCAAGCUCUCUUCAUCCGCUCGACUUGCAUGUGUUAGGCCUGCCGCCAGCGUUCAAUCUGAGCCAGUAUCAAACUCU
rnacentral:rRNA from 1 species